GAUGAACGCUAGCUACAGGCUUAACACAUGCAAGUCGAGGGGUAACAAGAGAAAAGCUUGCUUUUCUUGUUGACGACCGGCGCACGGGUGAGUAACGCGUAUCCAACCUGCCUAUAACUAGGGAAUAAACUUCCGAAAGUAAGACUAAUACCCUAUGAUUUCCUUUGAUCACAUCAGAUUAGGAAUAAAGAUUUAUCGGUUAUAGAUGGGGAUGCGUCUGAUUAGCUUGUAGGCGGGGUAACGGCCCACCAAGGCAACGAUCAGUACGGGUUCUGAGAGGAAGGGCGCCCACAUCGGAACUGAGACACGGUCCAAACUCCUACGGGAGGCAGCAGUGAGGAAUAUUGGUCAAUGGGCCGAGGCCUGAACCAGCCGAGUAGCGUGCAGGAUGACGGCCCUAUGGGGUGUAAACUGCUUUUAUACAGGAAUAAAGUUAGCCACGUGUGGUUAUUUGUAGGUACUGUAUGAAUAAGGACCGGCUAAUUCCGUGCCAGCCGCCGCAGUAA
rnacentral:rRNA from 1 species